UACGUAGGUGGCAAGCGUUGUCCGGAUUUACUGGGCGUAAAGGAUGCGUAGGCGGACAUUUAAGUCAGAUGUGAAAUACCCGAGCUUAACUUGGGUGCUGCAUUUGAAACUGGGUGUCUAGAGUGCAGGAGAGGUAAGUGGAAUUCCUAGUGUAGCGGUGAAAUGCGUAGAGAUUAGGAAGAACACCAGUGGCGAAGGCGACUUACUGGACUGUAACCGACGCUGAGGCAUGAAAGCGUGGGGAGCAAACAGG
rnacentral:rRNA from 1 species